rnacentral:rRNA from 1 species
AGAGUUUGAUCCUGGCUCAGGACGAACGCUGGCGGCGUGCCUAAUACAUGCAAGUCGAACGCUUCUUUUUCACCGGGUGCUUGCACCUACCGAGAAAGAGGAGUGGCGGACGGGUGAGUAACACGUGGGCAACCUGCCCAUCAGAGGGGGAUAACACUUGGAAACAGGUGCUAAUACCGCAUAAUUCUUUUUGUCGCCUGACAGAAAGAUAAAAGACGCUUUCGGGUGUCACUGAUGGAUGGGCCCGCGCUGCAUUAGCUAGUUGGUGGGGUAACGGCUCACCAAGGCCAUGAUGCAUAGCCGACCUGAGAGGGUGAUCGGCCACACUGGGACUGAGACACGGCCCAGACUCCUACGGGAGGCAGCAGUAGGGAAUCUUCGGCAAUGGACGAAAGUCUGACCGAGCAACGCCGCGUGAGUGAAGAAGGUCUUCGGAUCGUAAAACUCUGUUGUUAGAGAAGAACAAGUGAGAGAGUAACUGUUCUCACCUUGACGGUAUCUAACCAGAAAGCCACGGCUAACUACGUGCCAGCAGCCGCGGUAAUACGUAGGUGGCAAGCGUUGUCCGGAUUUAUUGGGCGUAAAGCGAGCGCAGGCGGUUCCUUAAGUCUGAUGUGAAAGCCCCCGGCUCAACCGGGGAAGGUCAUUGGAAACUGGGGAACUUGAGUGCAGAAGAGGAGAGUGGAAUUCCAUGUGUAGCGGUGAAAAUGCGUAGAUAUAUGGAGGAACACCAGUGGCGAAGGCGACUCUCUGGGUCUGUAACUGACGCUGACGCUCGAAAGCGUGGGGAGCAAACAGGAUUUAGAUACCCUGGUAGUCCACGCCGUAACCGAUGAGUGCUAAGUGUUGGACGGG